rnacentral:rRNA from 1 species
GAAAGCAGGGGAUCGCAAGACCUUGCGCUUUUGGAGCGGCCGAUGUCUGAUUAGCUAGUUGGUGGGGUAAAGGCCUACCAAGGCUACGAUCAGUAGUUGGUCUGAGAGGACGACCAGCCACACUGGGACUGAGACACGGCCCAGACUCCUACGGGAGGCAGCAGUGGGGAAUUUUGGACAAUGGGCGAAAGCCUGAUCCAGCAAUGCCGCGUGAGUGAAGAAGGCCUUCGGGUUGUAAAGCUCUUUCAGCCGGAAAGAAAAGGUUGCGAUUAAUAAUUGCAACUAAUGACGGUACCGGAAGAAGAAGCACCGGCUAACUACGUGCCAGCAGCCGCGGUAAUACGUAGGGUGCGAGCGUUAAUCGGAAUUACUGGGCGUAAAGCGUGCGCAGGUGGUUUUGUAAGUCAG